rnacentral:rRNA from 1 species
UACGUAGGGGGCAAGCGUUGUCCGGAUUUAUUGGGCGUAAAGAGCGUGUAGGCGGCCUGAAAGGUCAGCUGUGAAAACUCGAGGCUCAACCUCGAGACGUCGGUUGAAACCAUCUGGCUAGAGUCCGGAAGAGGAGUGUGGAAUUCCCGGUGUAGCGGUGAAAUGCGCAGAUAUCGGGAAGAACACCCGGGGCGAAGGCGGCACUCUGGGACGGUACUGACGCUGAGACGCGAAAGCGUGGGGAGCGAACAGG